rnacentral:rRNA from 1 species
UACGAAGGGGGCUAGCGUUGUCCGGAAUCAUUGGGCGUAAAGAGCGUGUAGGCGGCUUGGCAAGUCUGGUGUGAAAUCUUGCGGCUCAACCGCAAGCGGUCACUGGAAACUGCCUCGCUAGAGUCCGGAAGAGGAGAGCGGAAUUCCUGGUGUAGCGGUGGAAUGCGCAGAUAUCAGGAAGAACACCCGUGGCGAAGGCGGCUCUCUGGGACGGUACUGACGCUGAGACGCGAAAGCGUGGGGAGCGAACAGG